rnacentral:rRNA from 1 species
ACGAACGCUGGCGGCGUGCUUAACACAUGCAAGUCGAGCGGGGAUAUUGAUUGGAAGGUUUCGGCCGGAAGGUUGAUAUUCCAGCGGCGGACGGGUGAGUAACGCGUGAGCAAUCUGUCCCAGACAGGGGGAUAACAGAUGGAAACAUCUGCUAAUACCGCAUAAGACCACGAGGAGACAUCUUCUUGGGGUAAAAGGAGAAAUCCGGUUUGGGGUGAGCUCGCGUCCGAUUAGGUAGUUGGUGAGGUAACGGCCCACCAAGCCCGCGAUCGGUAGCCGACCUGAGAGGGUGAUCGGCCACAUUGGAACUGAGACACGGUCCAAACUCCUACGGGAGGCAGCAGUGGGGAAUAUUGGGCAAUGGGCGAAAGCCUGACCCAGCAACGCCGCGUGAGUGAAGAAGGCUUUCGGGUUGUAAAGCUCUGUCCUGGGGGACGAAGGAAGUGACGGUACCCCGGGAGGAAGCCCCGGCUAACUACGUGCCAGCAGCCGCGGUAAUACGUAGGGGGCGAGCGUUGUCCGGAAUGACUGGGCGUAAAGGGCGUGUAGGCGGCCGAUUAAGUAUGGAGUGAAAGUCCUGCUUUCAAGGUGGGAAUUGCUUUGUAGACUGGUUGGCUUGAGUGCGGAAGAGGUAAGUGGAAUUCCCAGUGUAGCGGUGAAAUGCGUAGAGAUUGGGAGGAACACCAGUGGCGAAGGCGACUUACUGGGCCGUAACUGACGCUGAGGCGCGAAAGCGUGGGGAGCGAACAGGAUUAGAUACCCUGGUAGUCCACGCUGUAAACGAUGAAUGCUAGGUGUUGCGGGUAUCGACCCCUGCAGUGCCGGAGUAAACGCAAUAAGCAUUCCGCCUGGGGAGUACGGCCGCAAGGUUGAAACUCAAAGGAAUUGACGGGGGCCCGCACAAGCAGCGGAGCAUGUUGUUUAAUUCGAUGCAACGCGAAGAACCUUACCAAGUCUUGACAUCCCUUGACGAUGCUGGAAACAGUAUUUCUCUUCGGAGCAAGGAGACAGGUGGUGCAUGGUUGUCGUCAGCUCGUGUCGUGAGAUGUUGGGUUAAGUCCCGCAACGAGCGCAACCCUUAUGGUCAGUUACUAACGGGUAAAGCCGAGGACUCUGACAAGACUGCCGGGGACAACUCGGAGGAAGGUGGGGACGACGUCAAAUCAUCAUGCCCCUUAUGACAUGGGCUACAAACGUGCUACAAUGGUGGUUACAAAGAGGAGCGAGCAUGUAAAUGUAAGCGGAUCUCAAAAAAGCCAUCUCAGUUCGGAUUGUGGGCUGCAACCCGCCCACAUGAAGUUGGAGUUGCUAGUAAUCGCGGAUCAGAAUGCCGCGGUGAAUACGUUCCCGGGCCUUGUACACACCGCCCGUCACACCAUGGGAGUUGGGAGCACCCGAAGCCGGUGAGGAGCCGUCGAAGGUGAGACUGAUGACUGGGGUG